CUCUCUUCCUUCACCACGGACCUGUGCCCAGACGUCCGCUGCUCGUUCAGCGUCGAUAUCUGCGGCAGCUCGAUACCCCCCAUGGAAUCACCAAACCAUUGUGGUGUCCCUCCUAUCGACAGGUCCAAGAUAGAUCGAUGCCUGCUGGGCCAUGUUCGCCGUCAAAAGCUGAGCGAGGUUCCGGCAGGACUUUCGAAGAGAUUACAUUCCACUCCCCUUUUCCAAGAUCGUCGAUCGAUGAGGUUGGGGCAAACCGUAAUUCCGCUACAUCU
rnacentral:sRNA from 1 species